UUGAAGAUUUUUUUCAACUGAAUUCCGUGAUUCUGCGGGAACGAAGACGAAGAAGCUUGACGAAGUGACAGUGCGGGAAAUUCGUAGAAUUUAUUUUGCAGCGUCGAAAUGGCGGUGAUGUCGGAGCGCAGAUUUCGCCAUCGGAUCACGACCCUCAAGGUCAGGUGAACCAGCAGUAAGCCGCCGGAGUGGGGAUUCUCCUCCAGAUCGUGAUUCUCGUCUUGUCCUUCUUCCUAGGUCGCGUCCUUUUUCGUCAUAAGUUCGAUUAUCUUUCCAAACCUACUGCUUCUCUUCUCAUGGGAGCUUGACAUAGAUGUGAAUUUGUGUGGACUGAUAUUUGGAGAAUCAGUCUAAAGUGAUGUUAUGGCGAGAUCCAUUGUACAUGUAUGUAACAUAGCUGAAGAUUGGCUUUAGAGUGCCCCUUCCUUCACAGAACCAGACAAGAAUUACCUAACCCCAUUCUUCCCUGGUAAUAACGUAACGCGGAUGAUGACCAUGACAAUGACGGUGAUGAUGAGCAACAACAUGCUGACCCAUCCCAUGUUUCUAGUUCCGAAACCGCAGCUAAAUCUCUCCAUGCCCAAAUCUUUUCUUGUAUUUGAACGCAAGUCAGCCAUUUUUUAACCGAGGAAGUGCAAUCACUAUGGUAAUGUCUAUUUCCUUAAUCUCGUGCUUGAAGGAAUUGCAAUAAGACAAGGUUUCCUGAUAAAUCUCUGCGGGUUUGCUUUGAGAUGAUGUGAUCUCUU